CCUGAAGCACCACCAGCACGUGGCUGAUCCCCUGAAGCACCACCAGCACCACCAUCACGUGGCUGAUCCCCUGAAGCAGCACCACCACCACGUGGCUGAUCCCCUGAAACACCACCACCACGUGGCUGAUCCCCUGAAGCACCACCACCACGUGGGUGAUCCCCUGAAGCACCACCACCACGUGGGUGAUCCCCUGAAGCACCACCACCACGUGGGUGAUCCCCUGAAGCACUACCACCACGUGGCUGAUCCCCUGAAGCACCACCACCAGCACGUGGCUGAUCCCCUGAAGCACCACCACCAGCACGUGGCUGAUCCCCUGAAGCACCACCACCAGCACGUGGCUGAUCCCCUGAAGCCAGCUGAUGCGUUUGUCAAUUACAAAGACCUUCCUUUUGCAGCGUCUCUCGUUUACCGACGUCCAGUCGAUUCCCCAAGAACAUGGUCUGGAUACUCCCCGGGAGUAUAUCCCUAUGCUGCAUCCAACUAUUGGGAUGCCGCCGAUUGGUUAUCCUUCUACAUUAAGCAAGGGCAACCUCCUGGACGGCCCUGAUCAAAGUAAAGCCUUAUUCAUAAAUUACGUUUUAAGUCAUCCAUUUUUAAGAAUUUACAUUUCUUUACUUUCUUUUUGAUGCCUCCCUUCAACAAUAAUCCCAAUGGGCAACCAGUAGUCUAUCCUCCACCUUAUAGGAACCCCUAGCAGAUCAGCCUACUACACCGUUGCAUACAGCGGUGCCUGUGAGAAGACACGCCCACGACUACAACGCCCCUUACAGCAAUGCCUGCACCAGCAAUGAAGUAUUGUCCAAUGUUAGAGUUUCAGGAGUAUCCCCAAUAUUAUGCAUUUCAGGGCUAUACCCCUAUAUUCCAAUUCCAUACUUUCAUCAACAGAAUGGUCCAUCUGCCCUUCACGUUAUCCUUUCCUGCUUUUCCAGGCUAAUGCUUUUAAAUGAGUCGAUCAAUAAAAUGACUGCAAGCA